rnacentral:rRNA from 1 species
GAGGAAUAUUGGACAAUGGGCGGAAGCCUGAUCCAGCCAUGCCGCGUGCAGGAAGACUGCCCUAUGGGUUGUAAACUGCUUUUAUACAGGAAGAAACUGUUCUACGUGUAGAACACUGACGGUACUGUAAGAAUAAGCACCGGCUAACUCCGUGCCAGCAGCCGCGGUAAUACGGAGGGUGCAAGCGUUAUCCGGAAUCAUUGGGUUUAAAGGGUCCGCAGGCGGUCAAUUAAGUCAGAGGUGAAAUCCCAUAGCUUAACUAUGGAACUGCCUUUGAUACUGGUUGACUUGAGUUGUACGGAAGUAGGUAGAAUGUGUAGUGUAGCGGUGAAAUGCAUAGAUAUUACACAGAAUACCGAUUGCGAAGGCAGCCUACUACGUAUAUACUGACGCUCAUGGACGAAAGCGUGGGGAGCGAACAGG